UUGAAGAGUUUGAUCAUGGCUCAGAUUGAACGCUGGCGGCAGGCCUAACACAUGCAAGUCGAGCGGUAGCACAGAGAGCUUGCUCUCGGGUGACGAGCGGCGGACGGGUGAGUAAUGUCUGGGAAACUGCCUGAUGGAGGGGGAUAACUACUGGAAACGGUAGCUAAUACCGCAUAAUGUCGCAAGACCAAAGUGGGGGACCUUCGGGCCUCAUGCCAUCAGAUGUGCCCAGAUGGGAUUAGCUAGUAGGUGGGGUAAUGGCUCACCUAGGCGACGAUCCCUAGCUGGUCUGAGAGGAUGACCAGCCACACUGGAACUGAGACACGGUCCAGACUCCUACGGGAGGCAGCAGUGGGGAAUAUUGCACAAUGGGCGCAAGCCUGAUGCAGCCAUGCCGCGUGUGUGAAGAAGGCCUUCGGGUUGUAAAGCACUUUCAGCGGGGAGGAAGGCGUUAAGGUUAAUAACCUUGGCGAUUGACGUUACCCGCAGAAGAAGCACCGGCUAACUCCGUGCCAGCAGCCGCGGUAAUACGGAGGGUGCAAGCGUUAAUCGGAAUUACUGGGCGUAAAGCGCACGCAGGCGGUCUGUCAAGUCGGAUGUGAAAUCCCCGGGCUCAACCUGGGAACUGCAUUCGAAACUGGCAGGCUAGAGUCUUGUAGAGGGGGGUAGAAUUCCAGGUGUAGCGGUGAAAUGCGUAGAGAUCUGGAGGAAUACCGGUGGCGAAGGCGGCCCCCUGGACAAAGACUGACGCUCAGGUGCGAAAGCGUGGGGAGCAAACAGGAUUAGAUACCCUGGUAGUCCACGCCGUAAACGAUGUCGAUUUGGAGGUUGUGCCCUUGAGGCGUGGCUUCCGGAGCUAACGCGUUAAAUCGACCGCCUGGGGAGUACGGCCGCAAGGUUAAAACUCAAAUGAAUUGACGGGGGCCCGCACAAGCGGUGGAGCAUGUGGUUUAAUUCGAUGCAACGCGAAGAACCUUACCUGGUCUUGACAUCCACAGAACUUAGCAGAGAUGCUUUGGUGCCUUCGGGAACUGUGAGACAGGUGCUGCAUGGCUGUCGUCAGCUCGUGUUGUGAAAUGUUGGGUUAAGUCCCGCAACGAGCGCAACCCUUAUCCUUUGUUGCCAGCGGUUAGGCCGGGAACUCAAAGGAGACUGCCAGUGAUAAACUGGAGGAAGGUGGGGAUGACGUCAAGUCAUCAUGGCCCUUACGACCAGGGCUACACACGUGCUACAAUGGCAUAUACAAAGAGAAGCGACCUCGCGAGAGCAAGCGGACCUCAUAAAGUAUGUCGUAGUCCGGAUUGGAGUCUGCAACUCGACUCCAUGAAGUCGGAAUCGCUAGUAAUCGUAGAUCAGAAUGCUACGGUGAAUACGUUCCCGGGCCUUGUACACACCGCCCGUCACACCAUGGGAGUGGGUUGCAAAAGAAGUAGGUAGCUUAACCUUCGGGAGGGCGCUUACCACUUUGUGAUUCAUGACUGGGGUGAAGUCGUAACAAGGUAACCGUAGGGGAACCUGCGGUUGGAUCACCUCCUU
rnacentral:rRNA from 1 species